rnacentral:snRNA from 1 species
GUACUUGCCUUGGCAGUAUGUGUACUAAAAUUAUAACAAUACAGAGAUAGGGAUUAACA